rnacentral:rRNA from 1 species
UACGAAGGGGGCUAGCGUUGCUCGGAAUUACUGGGCGUAAAGCGCACGUAGGCGGCUCUUUAAGUCAGGGGUGAAAUCCCGAGGCUCAACCUCGGAACUGCCUUUGAUACUGCAAAUCUCGAGUCCGGAAGAGGUGAGUGGAAUUCCUAGUGUAGAGGUGAAAUUCGUAGAUAUUAGGAAGAACACCAGUGGCGAAGGCGGCUCACUGGUCCGGUACUGACGCUGAGGUGCGAAAGCGUGGGGAGCAAACAGGG